rnacentral:lncRNA from 1 species
CUUGAAACUGGGGAGACGCUAAGGAUGGGGAAGGAACUGGAGCCACCGCUACCUUCCUUUCAGGAACAGGGGUGUGUCGGGGAUUCUCUUCUCCCACCUGGACUGAUGGUGGGAGCCGGCCUUUAGGACUGUAGCCUGGGGACAGGAGGAGGAAGAGCCUUAUACGUGGGCUGGAAACACGCUCAGAGACGCUCUCUUCCUCACUAAAGUAUGAUUCAUGUUCCUUUUUGAGACUCCAUCCUCCUCCUCCUCCUGGGCCGGGCAGCGGCCUCUGAGUGCCCCUGCCGCACCCUGGGGAUCUGAAGCCUCCAUCCUCCCCACUUCCUGUCCAGCACUGGCAUCCCAGGGGACCAGACCGUCUGGGAGCCUGGCUUCAGGCCCCGCAGGGAAGCUGGUUAGAAGAGGAGCCUGGACUUUGACUCCAAGAUGCAGCUCCAAUGUCCCCUCCUCCCCUGGCCACUGGAAGAUGCAAGGGUGUGUUCGUGUGUCCCAACCGAUCGUGGUUGUGAGCUUCCCCCACCCAGGAAACCCGCCGUUCACCCAAGUGGCCCAGCCAGGGCUGAGGACGCCGCCCAGGCUCGGGCACCCAGGAUUUCGGAUUCUGCGGGGAGUGCAGUGCCGGGUGGAGGCGCAGCGGGAUGAAGUGUCCCCUAGAGGGUCUCUGCUGCCCGUGACCCCCAUGCCCGGGUCAUGCUCCCGACCCAAGCCUGGCACUGCGGCCUCCUUCCCACUCAGACUAUGAGCUGCUCAAGACCCCAGACCACAUUCCCG